rnacentral:rRNA from 1 species
CCUANGGGGGGCAGCAGUGAGGAAUAUUGCGCAAUGCCCGAAAGGGUGACGCAGCGACGCCGCGUGGAGGAUGAAGGCCCUCUGGGUCGUAAACUCCUUUGGUAGGGGAAUAACAGGUCGCUACAGGCGGCCGUGAAUGUACCCUAAGAACAAGCAUCGGCUAACUACGUGCCAGCAGCCGCGGUAAUACAGAGGGUGCGAGCGUUAAUCGGAAUUACUGGGCGUAAAGCGCACGUAGGCGGCUUGGUAUGUCGGGUGUGAAAUCCCCGGGCUCAACCUGGGAACUGCAUCCGAAACUGCCUUGCUAGAGUAUGGGAGAGGGAAGUGGAAUUUCCGGUGUAGCGGUGAAAUGCGUAGAUAUCGGAAGGAACAUCAGUGGCGAAGGCGACUUCCUGGACCAAUACUGACGCUCAGGUGCGAAAGCGUGGGGAGCAAACAGGAUUAGAUACCCUUNUANUC